AUGGCUCAGGAUGAACGCUAGCGGCAGGCUUAACACAUGCAAGUCGAGGGGCAUCGGGAGUAGCAAUACUUGCCGGCGACCGGCGCAAGGGUGCGUAACGCGUGAGCAACAUGCCCGUAUCAGGGGGAUAAUCCAUGGAAACGUGGUCUAAUACCCCAUAGUAAUUAUGUAAGGCAUCUUAUAUAAUUUAAAGCUUUGGUGGAUACGGAUUGGCUCGCGUGACAUUAGCUGGAUGGUAAGGUAACGGCUUACCAUGGCUACGAUGUCUAGGGGUUCUGAGAGGAAGGUCCCCCCACACUGGAACUGAGACACGGUCCAGACUCCUACGGGAGGCAGCAGUGAGGAAUAUUGGACAAUGGAUGGAAAUCUGAUCCAGCCAUGCCGCGUGCAAGGAAGACGGCCCUAUGGGUUGUAAACUGCUUUUGUAUGGGAGCAAUAAGGGCUACGUGUAGUCCGAUGAGAGUACCAUACGAAUAAGCACCGGCUAACUCCGUGCCAGCCGCCGC
rnacentral:rRNA from 1 species